AAUUAUUGGUACGAGUAUUUUUUACGUUUUUUUUUAUAGGAUCUAUCCAUCUUACGAUCUCGUCUGCAGACACAAAAACAAGAUCUUAAAUAGGAUCCCACAAAUUUGAAAACUUGAUAGAUAUUAGAAACUGAGGACUUGGACCACUAUUUCUUGCAUUCAUCACCAUCAAUCCCAAUUCAUCCGCCAUGAGCUAGAUUUCCUCAAUCCCUAAUCAUCAGCUCCAUCUUUCACAAAAGAAUCCCCUUUUUCAAUCCAUCUGCCAUUAUCCUAUUACUGUCGGCCAAAAAAAAAAUAAUAAUAAUAAAAGAACCGACGGGAAACAGAGGAGGAGCCGCUGCCACUGCUGGGUCGUCGGAGUUUGUCCAUACCACCACGGUUAUCAAGUCGUCAUUUAAAAUGCACUGCGAUUCUAAGUCCCAAGAGUAUGGCCCUCCCUGGAUUAUGUUUUUGCAGCUCCAUCUACAUUCAUCUUAAUCCAGCCUUCCUGUGGUUUGUCCCAGCUGAUGUAUUUCGGCUGGCUCCUGUUCUCCGUGCGAGUAUUGGUAAGCUCCUGAGCCUCUACUGCUUGCUGAAUUAGCUGCUCCGGACGGGCUUUGAGCUUUCUGUCCAGCCUCUGAUGAACCUUCUCAUUCCUCGCUGUCCAUGCCCAGUGCACUACCUCUUGGGAGAGCACGGGCCAGAGUACGUUCUUGAUCCUUCCUAUGUCACUUUGCUUAACGUUCCAAUCCACCCAUUGAAUCAGGGACUUUGAUUUGAAGUCUCUCCAUCUUUCCCUUGAGAGUUGAGACAAGUCCUCUCCGAAUUUUGUUGACCAAUCACAGUCUCUCAAUGCAUGCAGUGCUGUUUCAUUUCUUCUCCACAUACUUCACAUUUUCUGGAAGGAUGCAGAUGUCUGUAAUGUCUGUAAUGUUUUUCUGCAUUAGUGAGCAAUCGUCCAUGCCUCACUCUCAACAGCAGCAACUUCCAUCUACUAGGGCCUUUAAAGGCUGAUGAUGUGGUGAAAUUCCCAUUUGCCUCUGGACUCCAAGUGAUUGUGUCUGGGUUAUCCAGCUCCUUGUAGACUGCUGUUGCUCUAGUCAGACUCUGUGUAUUCUGGUGCAGAUAUUUGCUCAGGGUACUCCAGACCCAACCCAAUCUGAGUUAGUCCGAUACUUCCCACUUUUUUGGUUAACUCUGACCCUUGUACUUUGCUUCUCGUGUUUUGUCCCCGUGAUCAUAUUUAACCUCUUUGCAAGCCUUUUUUUUUUACAGGUUUUUUUCUGCAAUGGCGCUUGAAUUGACUUGGUUGGUUACAUAAUUAUUCGUCUUCAUCCCAAUGGGAGCUCGCUGCUCUAAAUUAGGCUUUUGCUGGUGGCUUUCCAACCUCAAAUCCAACGUCCCUUAUUCCUCUGAUCUUGAGAAAUGUGGAGAAAAUGAAGGAUGAAACUGCCAGCAUUUAAAGAAUGCAGUUUAGAUGAGUUGAAGGUGGCAACUUCAGGAUUCUCAGUUGAAAACUUUUUAUCAGAACAUGUAGAGAAAGCUCCAAAUGUUGUCUACAAUUGGCAGCUUGAAGAUGAUGGCUCUUGGAUUGCUGUCAAACGUUUCAAUAAAUCUGCUUGGCCGGAUUCUCGGCAAAUUCCUGAUUAUUAUUACUUCUUUUCAGCAAGUCCCCAGCUAUAGUGUUUCACAAAUGUGAUAUUAUCUUAUUUAUGUACGUGCUUUGAUAUCAGCUGUACUACUUAGUUAGCCAUGAGUAUGCAAUUUGGAGGUUGAUAAGUCAGGAAACUUAUGAAGUAUCUUGUUUCUACCAAUAAUAUAAAGUCAAUUUCAUGUUUUUUUUUCUUGCUCA